GUGGGGCAGGAGAUCAGUUACUCAGCGUCUGUGAACUGGGUGAGUUGUAAUUGUUUUAAUCUUGCUUCUCUCACAGCCAGUGCUUGCUUGGCUGCUAGAGAAAAAUAAAACCCAUGUGGUAGUUAGAAUCUAGUUAAUUCUUUAAGAGUAGGGUACAAGACUUAACCCUCGCCUGGCAUGGCCCUAGGCCCUGUUUAUAAUUUGAGGUCUUAUUGCCACAAAGAGUCUGUUCUGUCAGUCUCAUGAUCUCUAUUUUAACAUUAAUGCUGCUCAGUUGUUGGGUCUAAACCAUAAGAGGGAGGGAGGUACAGGGAGGUAUGUCUGACCUCCUGUCCUGUCAUGGCCGAGAACUGAAUUUUAAGAUUUAUUUGAGGUUCCGUUGGCCAACAGGGGGUCUGUUAAGUCGGGUGGGGGGCUUAGGAUUUUAUUUUUUGUUCUCAAGGGAGAUAAAAUAAUUUAAUCCAUUGGCCUCUGUGACUGUGGGACUAACAUGGCUAUGAUCUGUCGGACAGACUUCAGGGACUCCCCAUGGCCUGGAGUACUUUGCCU
rnacentral:lncRNA from 10 species